GCCCAGAUGGCGGAAUUGGUAGACGCACCGUCUUCAGGUGGCGGCGCUCAAAAGGGCGUGGAGGUUCGAGUCCUCUUCUGGGCACCA
rnacentral:tRNA from 1 species